rnacentral:rRNA from 1 species
AGCAGCGGACGGGUGAGUAACGCGUGGGUAACCUGCCUCAUACAGGGGGAUAACAGUUGGAAACGGCUGCUAAUACCGCAUAAGCGCACAGUACCGCAUGGUACGGUGUGAAAAACUCCGGUGGUAUGAGAUGGACCCGCGUCUGAUUAGGUAGUUGGUGGGGUAACGGCCUACCAAGCCGACGAUCAGUAGCCGACCUGAGAGGGUGACCGGCCACAUUGGGACUGAGACACGGCCCAA